rnacentral:rRNA from 1 species
GACUGGCACUGCGACACUGGGCCAGACUCCUACGGGAUGCAGCAGUAAGGAAUAUUGCACAAUGGACGAAAGUCAGACGCAGCGACGCCGCGUGGGCGAUGAAGGCCUUCGGGUCUGUAAAGCCCUUUUAUGCGUGGGAAGAGAAAAAGGACGGUACCCCAUGAAUAAGUCCCGGCUAACUACGUGCCAGCAGCCGCGGUAAAACGUACGGGACAAGCGUUAUCCGGAUUCACUGGGCGUAAAGAGCGUUGAGGCGGUUCCGUAAGUUGGGCGUGAAAGCUCCGGGCUUAACCCGGAGAUGUCGUUCAAUACUGCGGGGCUUGAGGACAGCAGAGGAAGGUGGAAUUCCCGGUGUAGUGGUGACAUGCGUAGAUAUCGGGAGGAACACCCGUGGCGAAGUGCGGCCUUCUGGGCUGUUCCUGACGCUGAAGGCGAAAGCUAAGGGAGCGAACGGGAUUCGAUACCCCGGUCAAGUCCUAGCUGUAACCGAUGAAUGCUGGAUUUGGGGGUUGUAAAUUCCCUCUGUGCCGAAGCAAACGCGUUAAGCAUCCCGCUUGGGGACUACGGCCGCAAGGUUAAAACUCAGACGAAUUGACGGGGGCCCGCACAAGCAGCGGAGCGUGUGGUUUAAUUAGA